rnacentral:lncRNA from 1 species
GGUUGAGCACUUGGUGUUGGUCGGGGCCAUGCUAUUGAUAUGCGAGCUCGGCUAUUGGUGCUCCUCUGCCUCCUGUAGCUACUUUUUUAUAUUUGGUUGGUUUUACAGCUAGCUACUGUUGUUCCUCUGCCUUCUGCAAGUAAACUUUUACUCAAAACAGGUAUAUCAUAAGAAUCUUUUGUAGAAUGGGUGCAUCGUGAAUAUUGAUUGCAAGUUUAUGCUUUUGAAUAUUAAUUC